rnacentral:piRNA from 1 species
UGAAAGGAAGCGUUCCAUAGGUAAAGAAUG